rnacentral:rRNA from 1 species
UACGUAGGGGGCAAGCGUUGUCCGGAAUCAUUGGGCGUAAAGAGCGUGUAGGCGGCCCGAUAAGUCCGCUGUGAAAGUCCAGGGCUCAACCCUGGGAUGCCGGUGGAUACUGUCGGGCUUGAGUACGGAAGAGGCGAGUGGAAUUCCUGGUGUAGCGGUGAAAUGCGCAGAUAUCAGGAGGAACACCAAUUGCGAAGGCAGCUCGCUGGGACGUUACUGACGCUGAGACGCGAAAGCGUGGGGAGCAAACAGG